GCCCCCGUAGCUCAGUUGGAUAGAGCAGCUGACUUCUAAUCAGCAGGUCCCAGGUUCGAGCCCUGGCGGGGGUG
rnacentral:tRNA from 1 species